rnacentral:rRNA from 1 species
UACGGAGGGAGCUAGCGUUGUUCGGAAUUACUGGGCGUAAAGCGCACGUAGGCGGCUUUGUAAGUUAGAGGUGAAAGCCCGGGGCUCAACUCCGGAAUUGCCUUUGAUACUGAGAAGCUUGAGUCCGGGAGAGGUGAGUGGAACUGCGAGUGUAGAGGUGAAAUUCGUAGAUAUUCGCAAGAACACCAGUGGCGAAGGCGGCUCACUGGCCCGGUACUGGCGCUGAGGUGCGAAAGCGUGGGGAGCAAACAGG